rnacentral:rRNA from 1 species
AGCAGCAGCCGCGGGAAUACGAAGGGGGCUAGCGUUGUUCGGAAUCACUGGGCGUAAAGCGCACGUAGGCGGACACUUAAGUCAGAGGUGAAAUCCCAAGGCUCAACCUUGGAACUGCCUUUGAUACUGGGUGUCUUGAGUUCGGGAGAGGGGAGUGGAACUGCGAGUGUAGAGGUGAAAUUCGUAGAUAUUCGCAAGAACACCAGUGGCGAAGGCGGCUCACUGGCCCGAUACUGACGCUGAGGUGCGAAAGCGUGGGGAGCAAACAGGAUUAGAUACCCGCGUAGUCCCUGUCUCUUAUAC